UCGGGUUGUUAGGUGUUAGAAUCCCUAGUUACCCGAAAAAUUUGAUUGGAUCCGAUACUUAGAAAUAACCAAUCAGAUACUUUGUAACAAAUGCAACACAAUCAGUGCGUUCAGUAAGUAUAACGUUUCAAGAUGGCGGAGCGAAUUGCAUGGUUAUUGUUUCUACUCGAUGGAUUCGCAGAUAAUUCGGAAAUAGAUCAGAUUGGGAUCAAUAACUGUAUUGCAUACGAUCAUUUACAUGUAUUACCAGGUGUGUGUUGCCAGUAAUGGUUGAAGAUAUGCCAAACAAAUUGUGCCUCUCUAUACAGACAGAUUUCAGGUCUCAAUUUCGACUUCAAAGGUCAACAUAUCACUGAUAUCAGAUAUUCUGUACAACUGUGGAACCAUGUAUGGUACGUGACCGCACAAUGUUGGUUGGCAAAAGGAUAUUGGAAUAAGCAAAGGGACUCAACAUUACACAGUCAUUUCAACAUGUAGAGUCUUGUCAGCAAUGAUGGAGCAGUACUUCAGAUUUCCAGAAUCUCGUCAUGAGCUGAAGAUCAUUGCCUAUGAAUUUCAUGAAUGAUGUAGAAUGAUUGGACUGUUGAUGGAACCCACAGUGCAUGUCCUGCUUCAACAUCGGAGCAUAGGUCCUUGUUUAUCAGCAGUUUAGUUCUUUAAGCAGUCUGUGACAGUUACUUGAAAUGUUUGGACAUAUGACCUGGAUGGCCAAGUUCUGUGCAUGAUGCCCAUUUAAAUAGGAACGGCCCAGUGGCGCAUUAAAUGGACAUUUUUCGAAUGUUCUCGAGGAUUCAGCUUACCGCCUGACAAGAAAUCUUGCUUUUUGUUCAGUAUCGAGGCCAUGGACAUUUGUAUCAUUUGCAAAAGAUACUGCGAUAUUUGUGCCUUUGUUCAUGCUUUAUAGUUGAUUAACAAUUGGAAGCCAUAACCUGUUUUUAAGAUGGUGUUAGUGGGACAAUGAAUUUUGUAAAGAUUUAAAGACUGGAAAAGAUAAUUAAAAGUCAAAAGAGUUCUGCUAUUGUUAAGCAUGCUUUAUUGAUU